UACGAAGGGGGCUAGCGUUGUCCGGAAUUAUUGGGCGUAAAGAGCUUGUAGGCGGUUUGUCGCGUCUGCUGUGAAAUUUCGGGGCUCAACCCCGAACUUGCAGUGGGUACGGGCAGACUAGAGUGUGGUAGGGGAGACUGGAAUUCCUGGUGUAGCGGUGAAAUGCGCAGAUAUCAGGAGGAACACCGAUGGCGAAGGCAGGUCUCUGGGCCAUAACUGACGCUGAGAAGCGAAAGCAUGGGGAGCGAACAGG
rnacentral:rRNA from 1 species